AUCCGCCCUUCCCGACUUCUUAAUCUUCCAGCAGAGUUGAUUGUGAGAUCACAGGUCGUGAGGAUGAUGACAUCUCGAGUGUACUGCUCGUUAAGUGCUGUUUUAUUGUGUCUGUCUGCAUGUUUGAACACAAUAGAAGCUGGAGUCGUAGCAGCAAAGCCAGGACAGUGUCCAAGCACAAACUCUGGAGCAGGAAUGUGUGCUGAGAUCUGUUCCAAUGACAGUGACUGUCCGAGCAAUGAGAAAUGCUGCAGCAAUGGAUGUGGACAUCAGUGUAUGGCUCGAUAUACAGCCGAACCGUUAACGCCUGCAGCCGAACCACAGAAUCCUUCAGUGACGCCUGCAGCCAAACCGCAGAAUCCUCCAGUG